rnacentral:rRNA from 1 species
AGAGUUUGAUCCUGGCUCAGGAUGAACGCUAGCGGCAGGCUUAACGCAUGCAAGUCGAGGGUGAACAGGGAGCUUGCUCCGCUGACGACCGGCGCACGGGGGCGUAACGCGUAUAGAGCCCCUUUUACUGGAGAAUAGCCUUUAGAAAUGAAGAUUAAUGCUCCAUAGUAUUGCGACUCGGCAUCGGGUUGUAAUUAAAGAUUUAUUGGUAAAAGAUGGCUAUGCGUCCUAUUAGUUAGAUGGUAAGGUAACGGCUUACCAUGACAUCGAUAGGUAGGGGUCCUGAGAGGGAGAUCCCACACACUGGAACUGAGACACGGUCCAGACUCCUACGGGAGGCAGCAGUGAGGAAUAUUGGGCAAUGGAGGCAACUCUGACCCAGCCAUGCCGCGUGCAGGAAGACUGCCCUAUGGGUUGUAAACUGCUUUUAUACAGGAAGAAACACUCCCUCGUGAGGGAGCUUGACGGUACUGUAAGAAUAAGGAUCGGCUAACUCCGUGCCAGCAGCCGCGGUAAUACGGAGGAUCCAAGCGUUAUCCGGAAUCAUUGGGUUUAAAGGGUCCGUAGGUGGAUAAUUAAGUCAGAGGUGAAAUCCUGCAGCUCAACUGUAGAAUUGCCUUUGAAACUGGUUAUCUUGAGUUAUUAUGAAGUAGUUAGAAUAUGUAGUGUAGCGGUGAAAUGCAUAGAUAUUACAUAGAAUACCAAUUGCGAAGGCAGAUUACUAAUAAUAUACUGACACUGAUGGACGAAAGCGUGGGUAGCGAACAGGAUUAGAUACCCUGGUAGUCCACGCCGUAAACGAUGGAUACUAGCUGUUCGGUGCGGAUUGACUGGCUAAGCGAAAGUGAUAAGUAUCCCACCUGGGGAGUACGUUCGCAAGAAUGAAACUCAAAGGAAUUGACGGGGGCCCGCACAAGCGGUGGAGCAUGUGGUUUAAUUCGAUCAUACGCGAGGAACCUUACCAGGGCUUAAAUGUAGUCUGACAGGAUUGGAAACAGUCUUUUCUUCGGACAGAUUACAAGGUGCUGCAUGGUUGUCGACACCUCGUGCCGUGAGGUGUCAGGUUAAGUCCUAUAACGAGCGCAACCCCUGUUGUUAGUUGCCAGCGAGUCAUGUCGGGAACUCUAACAAGACUGCCGGUGCAAACCGUGAGGAAGGUGGGGAUGACGUCAAAUCAUCACGGCCCUUACGUCCUGGGCUACACACGUGCUACAAUGGUAGGUACAGAGAUCAGCCACUGCGCAAGCAGGAGCGAAUCUACAAAACCUAUCUCAGUUCGGAUCGGAGUCUGCAACUCGACUCCGUGAAGCUGGAAUCGCUAGUAAUCGGAUAUCAGCCAUGAUCCGGUGAAUACGUUCCCGGGCCUUGUACACACCGCCCGUCAAGCCAUGGAAGCUGAGGGUACCUGAAGUCGGUCACCGCAAGGAGCCGCCUAGGGUAAAAUUGGUA